rnacentral:rRNA from 1 species
GAUGAACGCUGGCGGCGUGCCUAAUACAUGCAAGUCGAGCGAACGGACGAGAAGCUUGCUUCUCUGAUGUUAGCGGCGGACGGGUGAGUAACACGUGGAUAACCUACCUAUAAGACUGGGAUAACUUCGGGAAACCGGAGCUAAUACCGGAUAAUAUUUUGAACCGCAUGGUUCAAAAGUGAAAGACGGUCUUGCUGUCACUUAUAGAUGGAUCCGCGCUGCAUUAGCUAGUUGGUAAGGUAACGGCUUACCAAGGCAACGAUGCAUAGCCGACCUGAGAGGGUGAUCGGCCACCCUGGAACUGAGACACGGUCCAGACUCCUACGGGAGGCAGCAGUAGGGAAUCUUCCGCAAUGGGCGAAAGCCUGACGGAGCAACGCCGCGUGAGUGAUGAAGGUCUUCGGAUCGUAAAACUCUGUUAUUAGGGAAGAACAUAUGUGUAAGUAACUGUGCACAUCUUGACGGUACCUAAUCAGAAAGCCACGGCUAACUACGUGCCAGCAGCCGCGGUAAUACGUAGGUGGCAAGCGUUAUCCGGAAUUAUUUGGCGUAAAGCGCGCGUAGGCGGUUUUUUAAGUCUGAUGUGAAAGCCCACGGCUCAUCCGUGGAGGGUCAUUGGAAACUGGAAAACUUGAGUGCAGAAGAGGAAAGUGGAAUUCCAUGUGUAGCGGUGAAAUGCGCAGAGAUAUGGAGGAACACCAGUGGCGAAGGCGACUUUCUGGUCUGUAACUGACGCUGAUGUGCGAAAGCGUGGGGAUCAAACAGGAUUAGAUACCCUGGUAGUCCACGCCGUAAACGAUGAGUGCUAAGUGUUAGGGGGUUUCCGCCCCUUAGUGCUGCAGCUAACGCAUUAAGCACUCCGCCUGGGGAGUACGACCGCAAGGUUGAAACUCAAAGGAAUUGACGGGGACCCGCACAAGCGGUGGAGCAUGUGGUUUAAUUCGAAGCAACGCGAAGAACCUUACCAAAUCUUGACAUCCUUUGACAACUCUAGAGAUAGAGCCUUCCCCUUCGGGGGACAAAGUGACAGGUGGUGCAUGGUUGUCGUCAGCUCGUGUCGUGAGAUGUUGGGUUAAGUCCCGCAACGAGCGCAACCCUUAAGCUUAGUUGCCAUCAUUAAGUUGGGCACUCUAAGUUGACUGCCGGUGACAAACCGGAGGAAGGUGGGGAUGACGUCAAAUCAUCAUGCCCCUUAUGAUUUGGGCUACACACGUGCUACAAUGGACAAUACAAAGGGCAGCGAAACCGCGAGGUCAAGCAAAUCCCAUAAAGUUGUUCUCAGUUCGGAUUGUAGUCUGCAACUCGACUACAUGAAGCUGGAAUCGCUAGUAAUCGUAGAUCAGCAUGCUACGGUGAAUACGUUCCCGGGUCU